CUCCACUUCGAGAGCGGCUCCGAUGGACCAGAAGAAAGCCUCGCAGCGCAGGGCUGGAAGGCUGCUCUUCGCCGCCACCAGCGCCAGCAGCGCCGUCAGGUUGAGAGCUCACCAUCGGGUUCUGUGACAGCAAGCUUCACGACAACUGCACCACAAGCGGGUGGCUGGCGGUGAUUGCCACAGACCAUACCGGAGACCUGGGCAAGGCCAGGCUGCCCUUUCCUUCACCUUUGGUCAGUCGUGCUGGCCCGUUGACAUGUCGUCUUUGGUUAUUGGAUGACUCAGACGUAUGUGAGCCAGGCAGCUUGAGUCUCUUCCUCGGAGUUUGGAUAUGCUGCCAAUCUGUCGGUGUGGACUAUCAUCAUGGUAUAUGGCUGAUUCUUGCAUUUCCCUGACCAGUUCGUGGAUUUGGUCCAGGCGCUCUCUGAUUUGCUGUGGCAUGGUGCCUACGUCCUUCGUCCAUGGUGGGCUUCCCUGGUUUAGUGUGAGCGGCGUCCUCAUGGUUGUGCCAAACAUCAUUUCGUAUGGAGAGAACUUGUGGACUGGAUUCGGCAAAUUCCUGUACGCUUGAGCUAUGUGAGGUACUUUGCCACAAAUAUCUACAUGCCACCUGCCAUGGAGUGUCCCUUCCUUGAAUAUUUUGAGUGCUGCGUUUUUGGUGGGGUGUCUCGGUUUCUUGAACCUUUGACAAGUGUCGCAAUUGGAUAUGUGUGCUGCUACAUCAUCGGCCAUUCUGGGCCACCAGAAAAACCUACGGUCCCCUGUUGGGUCUUCAAACCUCCUGUAGAGUACUCCAUUUUGAAGUGUUAAGGAGUUGUACUGGUGCCAAAGUGUUCUGGUGUUGCGCCCAAACUUGAUGACAUCUUGAAGAAUGGCCUUUCUGGCCUUUCUCUACUGCUGUGAUAAUUUGGGCCAAGUUUUUGUCUGCUCUCUGCAGUGAUGCCAUCUCUAGUGGUGUUUCCCCUUCAGGUGCACAGCCCGGGGAAUGUUUUGUCUGUGUUCGAGUGGAAGUCUCUUUUGACUUGGUACCACUCUUCGAUUUGCCUGGCCAGUGGAGAGGAGAACUUCCCUUCCAAGCUGAUUGGGUGAACUACUGGUGCUGUGUUGGGGGCCUGGAGUACUGAUGUGAAGACUUCCUGGAUUGUUAACCCUUCCACAAGAGUGGAGCUGAUGAGGACUGCUCCUAGGCCAGUGAGGCUGGCAUCACAAGUCAACGUGAAUGGUCCUUUAUCCACGUCUGGAGAACCAAGGACUGGCGCAGUGGUGAGAGCUGUUUUGACGGAGUCAAAAGCUUCCUGACAGUAAGGUGUCCAAUCAAAGUGGACUCCUUUUCUGAGUAGUCGGUACAAAGGUGAAACUUUGCUGGCCAUAUGAGACAGGAUGUGUCCUAAGAAGGAAAUCUCCUUUUGAAACAACUCACACUUUUUGGCUUUGAGGAGGAACCCUCCAGCCCUGACUCUAUUAAGGAAGGCUUCCAGCCGUUGCAACAUUUGUUCGAAGUUGUCUCCAGCUAUGCAGACAUCA